UACGGCAACAUCACGUUGCAACACCGGUCCCAAUACGGUCACCGCUAUUAAGCAACGUCGAGCUUGGUCAGUACUUAGAUGGGUGACCGCUUGGGAAUAUCAGGUGCUGUAAG